rnacentral:misc_RNA from 1 species
AAUUCUCAAACCACACUUGUUGUGGCUUGGAUAGUUGGGUGUUGCCGGCAUUAAGUGCUAGGGCUCACCUUAAAUAUAUGAGUGGCAUAUUUAGAAACUUGUUAGGUGUGGUAAAUUAUCAAUACAUCUAUGUUUCUGAAAUGUACUGCUUCUAACCCCAACCCUUUUGAUUA